GCUUACGGCCAUACCACUCUUAGAACGCCCGAUCUCGUCUGAUCUCGGAAGCUAAGCAGCGUCAGGCCUGGUUAGUACUUGGAUGGGAGACCGCCUGGGAAUACCAGGUGCUGUAAGCU
ensembl:rRNA 5S_rRNA 5S ribosomal RNA